UGUAUAAAAUCUCAUUUACUCCUCAAAAUAAUCCAUUUAUAGUUGAGAAAACUGAGAUGCACUGAGAUUACAUCGUUUGUCCGGCAUCACCCACCUCCAGUGGUGAGUAACUGGAAUAUGGACCUGAUCUUCUGCAACUUUAUGGCUGGACCCUGAGCCUUAUUGCCUAGGAAAGGACGUGGUGGAAUAAAGAAGCAAUUAUCACCUGUCAAUCUCAAAGCAGUGGGGACAACAUAGGUUACGAUGUAGAUAACAUAAAAAGACUGCCUCUUUGGCUCAAAGAAAUUGUGAGAGGGAGACUAGAGGUGGGAGAGGCAAGCCUGGAGAUAUGAAUUCUGAGUAACUCUUUCAGGCCAAAUUUCAGAAUGGGGCCAGCAUGUUAAGUAGGUUGAGGUCAAAGACAGAUGUUUCUGUCCUUGCCAUCUGAAAAUCUGGGAGAACAACUUCCAGACUUUUCCAGUGUGGGGGAAGCCAAAUCAGAAUAAAAGUGGUUGUCCCAUGUAGUUGGGCAGAGAAGGAGGGACUGAAUUCACCUUGCUAGGUUAUUUGGCUGUCAUGUGCCAUAGAGAAUACCAAGAAGUUCUUCUCUGCCCUAAUAAGGGGUAGAGGGUUUGCUAGCAGGCUUGCUGGGGGGUUUGCUACAUCAAGGACAACAUGGCCCUAGAGCUGAGGGCAGGGAUGGAAAGGCUCUUACGGUCAGACCUCCCAGGAGUCCAGUGUUAGUGAGGAAAGGUGAGGGCCCAGGCAGCAGAGAGAACCACCAGUCUCUGUAGGAUCCCCAACUGUGUGGAGAGGAGCAGACACUACAUUCUUUGGCCAAAAGCUUUAGCUACAGAUACCAACAAAGUAUUGACCAGGUAGAUGAGGUAUAUGCCAUAGAGGCUGGAAGAACCAGAGGACAGUAUAAGACCCUGUCUGAGGAGCUAAGCCCCUUCUCAACGCUCCCCUCUAUACCCUCUCCCCUCACAAAACUAAACAUUAUUAUGGAGGAGAGCAGGAAGAAGGGAAGACAUUUGAAACACUGGGCACAUAUCCAAAACAGAUAGAGUUACCUAUUGAGGGAGUGAUAAUGACUGGCUGGAGGUUACAGGACCUGACUAAAUGUUGGCACCCACAGCCAGUGGAGUGGAGACUCGUGAGGAA
rnacentral:lncRNA from 1 species